rnacentral:rRNA from 1 species
CAAUAGCGUAUAUUAAAGUUGUUGCAGUUAAAAAGCUCGUAGUUGGAUUUCUGGUCGGAAGCUCCUGUCCUCUGAUGAGCGUACAAGUGCGUCCUACCAUCCUUCUGUUAACCUUUAAGGCUUCCGCGGCUUUCUAGGGGCUCAGAUAUUUUACCUUGAGAAAAUUAGAGUGUUUCAGGCAGGCUAGCGCCGGAAUACAUUAGCAUGGAAUAAUGGAAUAGGACUUUUGCCUCUUCUGUUGGUCAUGAGGCUCGAGUAAUGAUUAAUAGGGAUAGUUGGGGGCAUUAGUACUUAACUGUCAGAGGUGAAAUUCUCGGAUUUGUUAAAGACUAACUUAUGCGAAAGCAUUUGCCAAGGAUGUUUUCAUUAA